rnacentral:rRNA from 1 species
CCCUUAGAUGUUCUGGGCCGCACGCGUGCUACACUGAGUAAUUCAAUGGGUAAGGGAACGCUAGAGCAUUACCUAAUCUUGAAAUUUGCUCGUGAUGGGGAUCGACGGUUGCAAUUUUCCGUCGUGAACGAGGAAUUCCCAGUAGGCGCGAGUCAUCAGCUCGCGUCGAUUACGUCCCUGCCCUUUGUACACACCGCCCGUCGCUACUACCGAUCGGAUGGUUUAGUGAGACCCUCGGACUGGUCCCGUCGAAGCAGGCGACUGCCUCGACGCGCGCGCCGGGAAGAAGGUCGAACUUGACUAUCUAGAGGAAGUAAAAGUCGUAACA